UACAGAGGUCCCAAGCGUUGUUCGGAUUCACUGGGCGUAAAGGGUGCGUAGGCGGUCGGGUAAGUCUGAUGUGAAAUCUCACAGCUUAACUGUGAAACUGCAUUGGAUACUAUUCGGCUUGAGAGUUGGAGGGGGGACUGGAAUUCCUGGUGUAGCGGUGAAAUGCGCAGAUAUCAGGAGGAACACCGGUGGCGAAGGCGGGUCUCUGGGCCGUAACUGACGCUGAGGAGCGAAAGCGUGGGGAGCGAACAGG
rnacentral:rRNA from 1 species